GACGAACGCUGGCGGCGUGCCUAAUACAUGCAAGUCGAACGGAAAGGCCCUGCUCUUGUUGGGUGCUCGAGUGGCGAACGGGGGAGUAACACGCGUGUAUCCUCUCCCUGUCUUUGGGAUAACUCUACGAAACUGGGGCUAAUACCGCAGAGGAUCUCCUGCAGCAUGUGGGGGGUUGGAAAGAUACGGCGGUUGGGGCUGGACUGGAGGGAUACCAGCUUGUUGGUGAGGUAGGGGCUUACCAAGGCUUCGACGGGUAGCCGGCAUGAGAGGCUGAACGGCCACCAUGGGACUGAGAUACGGCGCAGACGCCUACGGGAGGCAGCAGGGGGGAGUAUUGCACAAUGGGGGGAAGUCAGAUACAGAGACGCCGCGUGCGGGAUGCCGGCUUUCUGGUUGUAAACAGAUUUGGACUGAGACGAAGCGUGAGUGACGGUAAUGAGUAAAGAAGCCCCGGCUAACUACGUG
rnacentral:rRNA from 1 species